rnacentral:lncRNA from 1 species
CUGAGAUCAGCUGAGGAAAGCUUUGCCAAGCUUCAGAGGAUCAAAAUGUGCAUUUGGGAGGGGUAGGCGGGCAGAUGGCGCCAGAUUAAAAAGAUGCUGGGCUCGCUCGCUGCUCUGAGGUCUCUGAAUUGCCUCCAGCACAGCAGUGUGCAAUCAGGAACUCCAUCACACGACCUAAAAACUUGUUGAGUCUCUCCAAAAAGACUUAGCCUGCUACAAGAUACUGAGGGGGAUUGAGAUGCACUUCCAGAGGGCCUGAGAUUCUAGAAGCCCAGCAUCCACCAGAUGCCUGCUGAAGUCGAUGGCUGCUGCACACUCUGCUGAGGAAUCAGAUUUCUGAAGGUCCUUCAUAAAUACUUCAGUCUGCAAAGAUGAACAAGAGGAGCCCGAAGAAUGUCGUAUGAAAUGAAGACUGAGAUACUGAGAUUCUCUCAAAACAGCCUCAGGUGAACCAGGAGAAUAAGCAGGUUAAUAAUCUUUAGUGAGGAGGCUGGGAGGGAGGGGGCCACAUGUGUGCCGCAUACCUGUACAAGAGUACAUAUUUCCUGUCUCUUCCAUGUCACGUUCUCUUAAGCCCCGAGGCGUCUACACUGACAAUUUCCACUGCACAGAAUGCCUUUCUCCUCUUCUCUGCAAUGAGAUCAGCUGCUCCUCAGUGAAGCUUUCUCAGAAGCCUCCCACCCCCACACCCGCACACACAUUGACAGACACAGAGGACAGACAGCCCUGUGCCAAACCUCAGCCCUGUGUCUGGGGUCUUCUCCAGGCAGGACCUGAGGUUACCUUUCUCUUCCUCCCUAGUGCUUAGCACAGUGCCUUGGUUCAAACAUGCACUCACUGAGCCUACCCCUGGCCAAAGGUCCAGGCGCUGGGCUGGACUAGGGCUGGCAGUGGUGAAGAGA